rnacentral:rRNA from 1 species
CCCGGGCCUUGUACACACCGCCCGUCACACCACGGAAGUCGGUAACACCCGAAGCCAGUGGCCCAACCCUUGUGGAGGGAGCUGUCGAAGGUGGGAUCGGCGAUUGGGGUG